GUGAAUCAUCGAAUUUUUGAACGCAAAUGGCACUCUCUGGUAUUCCGGAGAGUAUGCCUGUUUGAGGGUCAGUUUAAAUAAAAAUCGGGGUGGUUGCUGCCUUUCGUGGUGACGUACCGGAUUUGGGGCGUCUGGCCUUCGGGUAAGUGACCUAAAAUGUUGCAUGAUUUUUUCGAACGUAUUUAAAUGACUUACGUACGUUUGCGAUAUCGAAUAAUAGGUGGGGUUAUCCUCAUGAUUAGCGGUUAUAAUUUUGA
rnacentral:misc_RNA from 1 species